GGUUAAGUCCCGCAACGAGCGCAACCCACGUCUUUAGUUGCCAGCAUUUAGUUGGGCACUCUAGAGAGACCGCCGGUGAUAAACCGGAGGAAGGUGUGGAUGACGUCAAGUCAUCAUGCCCCUUACAUCCUGGGCUACACACGUACUACAAUGCUACGGACAAAGGGCAGCAAGUUCGCGAGGACAAGCAAAUCCCAUAAACCGUGGCUCAGUUCAGAUCGUAGGCUGCAACUCGCCUACGUGAAGGAGGAAUCGCUAGUAAUCGCAGGUCAGCAUACUGCGGUGAAUACGUUCCCGGGCCUUGUACACACCGCCCGUCACACCAUGGAAGUUGGCCACGCCCGAAGCCGUUACUCCAACCCUCGGGAGGAGGACGUCGAAGGUGGGGCUGAUGACUGGGGUGAAGUCGUAACAAGGUA
rnacentral:rRNA from 1 species